UCUCUCGGGUUUCUCUUCAGAUCAUAUAAAUCUUUCACCUUUUACUAAAGAUUUCUAUAGAGAGGAACAAGUACAAGUCUCGAUGAAUUUUUGAGGCUUCACUUUGCUGUUUGGU
rfam:Picoides pubescens contig45739, whole genome shotgun sequence.